AAGUGUCAGAAAUGUGUCAAAGUCAAAGAUGAAGAUCUAGCUAGGUUAACCGGCCAAUUGCGCAAGAGAUAUCUUGUUAUGCAAUUAUGAUGGCGGAAAUUGUAUCGAGUGAUGUAAUAAGUGUAUUGUGUUGUGAGGUUGUGAGUGGAUAUGUUUAUUGUGUGAAUCAUAAGUAUUAGUGUGGUGUGGGGCGAACAUGUUAAUGCUGACCCGUUGCGGAUGACCAUGCGACACAGUAUGUGAAAUGCUUUCCAAUGAUAGUUCAAGGUCCAGAAGUGAUAUACUUAGGAUGAAUAUGGAGUGAAGCAGACAGGAGGCAGCCAAACCACUCCACAACACUGCUGGGGAUCCCCCAAGGACUGUGGGCCAAACCACAUAAGGCCCCUUAAAGGUGGUGGAAGGUCAUUCCAGCAGUGUGUGGCUGCAAAUCUGAAACUACCCCUGAAAGCUGCAGUUUUGUGAGGUGGGACCCUAAGCGGAGCAACUAUGGAGCGAAGACCAUGUCUGUAGCACGUUUCUUUCCAUGUCAGUUUUUCAAAUAAGUAGUGCGGCUUAUGGGUUGAAACAAUUCCAAACAUUAGGCUAGCAAGAUGCAGUUUUCGCCUGGCAGCCAUUUUUAACAUUUUAAUUUGAUUGAUAUAUGGCGUUACGUGGUGCCUGCGGGGGACUUUGAUGCAAAAUCUGACACAGGCAUUCUGAACCCGCUGUAUCAGCCUAUCUGUCCUAGCAAGCAAGCAAGGCCCGUAUACGGUAUCACAGUAAUUCAGCUUAGAUAGGACUAGAGUGUCAACAAGUUGUUUCCUAAGAGGCAGGCUAAGAAAAUUACGGAUACCAUAUAGUACCUUUAGUCUGUAGAAACAGUUUCUAACGAUGUUGUUUAUGUGAGCCUCAAAGUGCAGCUCCGGAUCCAAGGUUAGGCCCAGACUACACGCUUGUUCUACGCGUUCAAUUUUUUCCCCCUGAAUGACUAUCUCAGGCUUGGCAGCUACUAUAUUGGUGACCUGUUUUUUUGUACCUAGCACCAUAAACUUGGACUUAAGGGGAUUAAGCAGCAAACAAUUUCCCUCCGACCAAGCAACUAUCCGCUGCAGAUCCUCAUUUAUUCUUUGAACUGCAGCUACCACAUCAUCCCCCUUGAAGGAAGUGUACAGCUGGAUAUCAUCCGCAUACAUGUGAUAUCUGCAGUUCACAAGGGAUUUAACUAUAUCAGCGCUGUAGAGGAUGUACAACAAUGGGCCCAAUAUCGAUCCCUGCGGAACUCCCCUAGACACUGGGAGUGGAGGGGACGAGAUGAUGGUACCGUCCUCUUUGUGGAUUUGCACAAGCUGGGACCUGUCCUUCAGAUAGCUAUUAAACCAAUCUACCGCAGCGCCAUCAAAACCAUAGUAAGUUAACUUGGACAGCAGUAAAUUGGUAUUAAUUGCAUCAAAAGCACGUGAAAAGUCCAGCAAGACAAGGAUUGACCCCUCCCCCCGGUCGCGUGCCUCCAGAAUAUUGCCCACUACAUCCAUCAAAGCAGUUGCAGUCCCUCUACCCUUGCGAAAUCCCGACUGUAACUCGGGCAAAAUAUUAUUUGCCUCCAGGUAUUCGAUUACCUGGAGGUAUACCACACGCUCUAGAAUUUUAGAUAGGCAGGGCAGGAUGCUUAUAGGCCUUAGGUCCUUCAGAUUGACUGGGUCACUAGUUUUUGGAAUAGGGCAAACGAUAGCACGCCUCCAAAGGCUGGGGAAUGUACUAGUUUCUAUGGACUUGUUGAUGAUAUCAGUGAUGACUUGUAGAGUGUUUGGCAGAGUGAGUGUCAACAUGUCCAGACUGAUACCAUCAAUACCCUGAGCUUUUGACCCCAGACCCUUGAUUAUCCCCAGAACAGUCUGCCGAUUGGUACUAGUAAGGGAGAACCUGGCUGGACUAUGCCUACAAGAAUUGAAGUAGUGGUUCAAUGAGAUAUUGUCGCUACAAUUCCCUGGCACAUUCAAGAAGGCGGCGUUUAUACUAUCUGGGUUAUCAAAAUGGCUUGGCAGCCGCUUAUCUUUAUGGUCAGGAAGAACAUCUGAUUUUAAAUUCUGCCAUAAUAGUUUGGGAUCUUUACUUAGCUCAUUGAUGUUUUUUGUAAAGUAUGCGGACUUUUCCCUCACUAAAGCGGCUGCUGCCUCAUGCUUAAGAUCCAGAUAGUACUGCCUGUGAUGUGGGAGCUUUGUUUCGCGACUUCUCUGUCUAGCUUCAUCUCGAAGCUUGAACAUUAGACGAAUAUUGUCGGUAAUCCACGGUGUAGGCCGCUUAUAAUAGGUCUUUGUCUUCAUAGGGGCAUGGAGAUCGAAGAGUUGAGUUAUGUAAGAAUUAAAUGUUAGAACCAUAGCAUCAACGUCAUCCAAGUCUCCUAUAUCAGACCAUGGUAUCGCGUUCAGGUCUUUCUCAAAAUAAUCUGGCAAGAUGUCAGCGAGAGGACGAAACCUGACAAUCCUUGGUUUACACUUUGGCUUCCUGAAAACUGUUUCACAGGUGAUGAAGGCAUGAUGACCAAGCUCACUAAUAUGGUUCACUUCGACAUUUCGUGUGAAAGCAUCAGUGCAUAUGAUGUCGAUCAAUGAGCAACUGUCGUUCACGAAAUGUGUGGCUGCUGUGACAGUUUGAACCAGAUUAAAAUUGCCGAAGAAUCCCAUUAGCUGCCUAGUCUUUGAGCUGUUUGAAUUAAGCAGGUUGACGUUAAAGUCUCCUAAUAAUAUGACGUUGUCGUAUGGUCCUAGGGCGCUAAUACUAGCAGUUAUGGCAUCGAGGAAAAGUUCUAAAUCCUGCCAGGGCGGGCGGUACGCGGUCCCUAUAAGAAGCUUUGUUUUGUUUACUGUGAGGCCCAGCCAGAGCUGCUCGACAGUCGAGUGCUCAGGGUGAGCCUUGACUCUUGCGUUUAUACCAUUCUUAAUAUAAAAAGCCACACCCCCGCCACGCCCUCCUCGUGUAGAAAUAGGUCUAGGUAUAUGUUUAAAUUUGUACCCAGAGAUACUGGGAGCACGAUCCUCUUCCCCACUGCGUAGCCAUGUCUCAUUGAUAGCCAUGAUGUCCACAGAGUGGUUGCCCAUGGCGAUCAAGAACUCGUCCUGUUUAGUACCCAGAGAUCCAGCAUUAAAUAGACCAAACUUAAUGUAUUUACUAGGAGCCAUAGAUACCGUUAGGUGUAUGCAUUACAUGUGUAUGGGCAUGGUACCAGUUUAAACAAUAGCGUGGCGAUGUAAAGUGGAUGUAUGUAUGGGAAGUAUGUAUAACUUGUAAGUGGUUAGGGUUAAGUGAAAAUAUGAUAUGUAAAUAAUUAUAGUUAAGUGUAAAAAAAAUUUGUAAAUAUAGUGUAAAUAAAUAAUUUAUAGCAGAUGAGUGAUGAGUCAUUUGUGUUAAGUGUGUUAAGUAGAUUUCAAGUGUGUUAAGUACAUCCAGUCUAUGGUUGAGCACGGUACAGAAAAGAUAAUGGCAAUCACUUAGCCAGUUUAUAUAUAAAAAGAUAAUUACAUCAAGGUGGACUUUACUAAAGCUUAACCGUAUUAAUUUCAGUGCCGAAGACACGGGACAAGUCCCCCUCCGUGCGGAUCCUCUGCGCCUUAUCCCCCGGCGCCUUCCUGACGAGGAUGCGGCCCUGCUUGGUCCAGACAAACUUCCAGCCAAGAGCCCCGGCCGCUUCCCGUGCUUGACGAAAUAACAAGCGGUUAACUUUCGUCAGCCGCUCGUUAAAAAAGAACCGCUGCGCCGGCCCGGGCAUGCCAAGGUCCGUCGUAGUUGCGCCUCGUCGCACUCGCGCGCUCGCCAUAAGCUGGUCACGCAGGUCGCGGCGAGCAAGGCGCACCACUAUCGGCCGCGGGCGUGAUACAGUUGGUCCCGCUGAGUUUGUUGCGUUGAGCUGCCUGCCACCUACACGCUCCGCACUGACGAUAUCACGAUCGUCUAGGCUGAUCCCUAACUUAUGCCCUAAGGCUUUGAUUAUGUGGAUAGGGUUUUCCGCCUUUUCCUCCGGCAAGUUGGACACCUCUAUGUCAUUGGCAAGAAGCUCCUGGUCCCUAUCAUUGAGCUCUCGCCUCAGCUCCUCCACUAUUUCGCCUACGUUGUCGGAGUUUGGCCUCGAAGUAGCACGCUGUUCAAGUGCGUCUACCCUGGCCUCUAGACCGUCGACGCGCGCGCUGCAGCAGUUCAGGGUGGAUUUAAGCUCCGACAUUUCCACCUCCAUUUCUCUCCUAAACACCUGUAUCUCCGCACGAACCGCUCUCAACUCCUGAAGGAUUACGUGCAGGUCAUUUCUAGGUACAGGUGACAACUCUCGAGUGGUGGUGGAGGCGGCAUUGAGCGACGCUACAUUCCUACUUGGUGAGCUGGAGUCCAGGUUCGAGAUCACUGCGUCAUCGCUAGGAGGAAUUUGCGUGGAGCCUCUGACUGGGGUAUCAUUUCUGUUGUCCCUAACAGUAUUUUUCUUACACUCGGGACAUCGCCAAGUAAGAGGAACGGAGGCUUUGGCAGGGAACCCUCCACAUAUUCUGCAGUAUAGAACCCUGCAUUUCCCACACCUAGCGCCAUCUACCUGCGAGGCAAAGCGGGAGCAACCUCCACAUUGGAUACCUGGCAUCCUUAAGGUGUACAAUUCUUGUUACACAAAUAGUUCCAGGCCGGCACGCUAGAUGGCGAUACAAGAGAUCCACUACACAGAUCGGAGAGCAGCUUGUCACCGAUGUCGCGACAGAUGGCGCUGAUAGUGAUGCGCGAUUGGAGCUUUGUUAUCGUCUGUGGCAACGUUGUAGAACUCACGUCCAGCAAACCAAAUAAAUUAUUUUGGCGGGUAACUGUAUAAGUUCUCACCAAAACACUGUUUUUAAAUUGUUGAUUUUCAGCCCAAGGUCGCACUAUUUGAAGCUCACUGUAAACUAUGUAUAGCUGUUUAUCACUAUGUAAAUAAUAAUAAAGUUUUUAAUGCA
rnacentral:lncRNA from 1 species